rnacentral:lncRNA from 1 species
CAGAUACUCAGGAGGCUGAGGCAGGAGGAUUGCUUGAGCCCGGGAGGUUGAGGUUGCAGUGAGUUUAAAUCAUGCCACUGUACUCCAGCCUGGGUGACACAGCAAGACCCUGUCUCAAAAAAGUUUUUCUAGGCCAGGAUCUAUAGUCUUCACCAGACUACCAAGUAAAUCCGUAGCACACAUGAUUUUAGGAACUCAUAGCUCUCUGUGGACCCAGGUGGCAUGCACAUUUGAGUAAGAUUUGCGUUUGAUUGUCCUCUCCUACUUUCUUGGUCUUAUUUUCAUUUUAGUGGUUUUGAG